ensembl:lncRNA
CUCCGCCAUACGCUCCCCCGCUGUGUGGACCUGCGGCACCCAUUGGCGCAGCACCGCGACCUCAUUGACCCCAUUAACCCCAAUGACCCCAAUGACCCACUGUCCCCAACGACCCCAUUGACCCCAUUGACCCCAUUGACCCCAUUGACCCCAAUGUCCCCAUUGACCCCAAUACCCCCAUUGCCCCCAUUAACCCCAUUCACCCCAUUGCCCCCAUUGACCCCAAUACCCCAUUAACCCCAAUACCCCCAUUCACCCCAUUGACCCCAUUGACCCCAAUGUCCCCAUUGACCCCAAUGGCCCCAUUCACCCCAUUAACCCCACUCACCCCAUUAACCCCAUUGCCCCCAUUAACCCCAUUAACCCCAUUAACCCCAUUCACCCCAUUGCCCCCAUUGACCCCAUUAACCCCAUUCACCCCAUUGACCCCAUGACCCCAAUAACCCUACUGACCCCAAUGACCCCAACAACCCCAUUAGCCCCAAUGACCCCAUAACCCCCACGACCUCCGAUGACCCCAUGACCCCACCGUGACCCCAUGACCCCUGACCUCGUUCCCGAUGAUGUCGACGCGGUGCUGGACCUGGGGCACCCAUUGGCGCAGCACCGCGAACAAUUGUGGGAUGGUGGUUUUGGGGUCGAGCAGAAUCUGCUGACAGGCCGCGUCAGUGGGGUCAAAGAACGUGAAGGCUGACGGGGUCAAAGGGCAAAGGUUAAAGCAUGGAGGUCAACUGGGGUCCGAGUCCCAUUAGCGGGGUCCCAUCCCCCAUUAUUGGGGUCUUAUAUCCCAGUAUUGGGGUCCCAUCCCCCAUUAUUGGGGUCCUAUACCCUGUUAUUGGGGUCCCAUCCCAUUAUUAGGCUCCCAUAACCCGUUAUUGGGGUCCUAUACCCCAUUAUAGGGGUCCUAUUCCCAAUGUUGGGGUCCCAUCCACCAUUAUUGGGGUCCAAUACCCUGUUAUUGGGGUCCAAUACCCCAUUAUUGGGGUCCCUGUGCCUCCUAUUGGGGUCCCAGUGCCCAUUAUUGGGGUCCUAUACCCCAUUAUUGGAGUCCCAUCCACCAUUAUUGGGGUCCUAUACCCCAUUAUUGGGGUCCCAGUGCCCAUUAUUGGGGUCCCAUUCUCAUUAUUGGGGUUCUAUACCCUGUUAUUGGGGUCCCAACCCCCAUUAUUGAGGUCCUAUACCCUGUUAUUGGGGUCCUAUACCCCGUUAUUGGGGUCCCAGUGUCAAUUACUGGGGUCCUAUACACCAUUAUUGGGGUCCCAUCCACAUUAUUGGGGUCCCAUCCACCAUUACUGGGGUCCUAUAUCCCACUAUUGGAGUCCUAUACCCAUUAUUGGGGUCCAAUACCCCAUUAUUGGGGUCCCAUACCCCAUUAUUGGGAUCCCAUCCACCAUUAUUGGGGUCCUAUACCCCAUUAUUGGGAUCCCAUCCACCAUUAUUGGGGUCCUAUAUCCCAUUAUUGGGGUCCCAGUGCCCAUUAUUGGGGUCCCAUUCCUAUUACUGGGGUCCCAGUGCCUCCUAUUGGGGUCCCAUCACCCAUUAUUGGGGUCCCAUCCUCCAUUAUUGGGGUCCUAUACCCCAUUAUUGGGGUCCCAGUGCCUCCUAUUGGGGUCCCAGUGCCCUUUAUUGGGAUCCCAUCCCCCAUUAUUGGGGUCCCAUCCCCCUAUUUAGCCCCCCCCCCUUCAUUUAUGGUCCCCCCCCUCCCCUU